CAGCAGCCGCCGCGGUAGUACGUAGGUCCCGAGCGUUGUCCGGAUUUAUUGGGCGUAAAGCGAGCGCAGGCGGUUAGAUAAGUCUGAAGUUAAAGGCUGUGGCUUAACCAUAGUACGCUUUGGAAACUGUUUAACUUGAGUGCAAGAGGGGAGAGUGGAAUUCCAUGUGUAGCGGUGAAAUGCGUAGAUAUAUGGAGGAACACCGGUGGCGAAAGCGGCUCUCUGGCUUGUAACUGACGCUGAGGCUCGAAAGCGUGGGGAGCAAACAGGAUUAGAUACCCGAGUAGUCCCUGUCUCUUAUACC
rnacentral:rRNA from 1 species